UUAAGCGACUAAGCGUACACGGUGGAUGCCCUGGCAGUCAGAGGCGAUGAAGGACGUGCUAAUCUGCGAUAAGCGUCGGUAAGGUGAUAUGAACCGUUAUAACCGGCGAUUUCCGAAUGGGGAAACCCAGUGUGUUUCGACACACUAUCAUUAACUGAAUCCAUAGGUUAAUGAGGCGAACCGGGGGAACUGAAACAUCUAAGUACCCCGAGGAAAAGAAAUCAACCGAGAUUCCCCCAGUAGCGGCGAGCGAACGGGGAGNAGCCCAGAGCCUGAAUCAGUGUGUGUGUUAGUGGAAGCGUCUGGAAAGGCGCGCGAUACAGGGUGACAGCCCCGUACACAAAAAUGCACAUGCUGUGAGCUCGAUGAGUAGGGCGGGACACGUGGUAUCCUGUCUGAAUAUGGGGGGACCAUCCUCCAAGGCUAAAUACUCCUGACUGACCGAUAGUGAACCAGUACCGUGAGGGAAAGGCGAAAAGAACCCCGGCGAGGGGAGUGAAAAAGAACCUGAAACCGUGUACGUACAAGCAGUGGGAGCACGCUUAGGCGUGUGACUGCGUACCUUUUGUAUAAUGGGUCAGCGACUUAUAUUCUGUAGCAAGGUUAACCGAAUAGGGGAGCCGAAGGGAAACCGAGUCUUAACUGGGCGUUAAGUUGCAGGGUAUAGACCCGAAACCCGGUGAUCUAGCCAUGGGCAGGUUGAAGGUUGGGUAACACUAACUGGAGGACCGAACCGACUAAUGUUGAAAAAUUAGCGGAUGACUUGUGGCUGGGGGUGAAAGGCCAAUCAAACCGGGAGAUAGCUGGUUCUCCCCGAAAGCUAUUUAGGUAGCGCCUCGUGAAUUCAUCUCCGGGGGUAGAGCACUGUUUCGGCAAGGGGGUCAUCCCGACUUACCAACCCGAUGCAAACUGCGAAUACCGGAGAAUGUUAUCACGGGAGACACACGGCGGGUGCUAACGUCCGUCGUGAAGAGGGAAACAACCCAGACCGCCAGCUAAGGUCCCAAAGUCAUGGUUAAGUGGGAAACGAUGUGGGAAGGCCCAGACAGCCAGGAUGUUGGCUUAGAAGCAGCCAUCAUUUAAAGAAAGCGUAAUAGCUCACUGGUCGAGUCGGCCUGCGCGGAAGAUGUAACGGGGCUAAACCAUGCACCGAAGCUGCGGCAGCGACGCUUAUGCGUUGUUGGGUAGGGGAGCGUUCUGUAAGCCUGUGAAGGUGUGCUGUGAGGCAUGCUGGAGGUAUCAGAAGUGCGAAUGCUGACAUAAGUAACGAUAAAGCGGGUGAAAAGCCCGCUCGCCGGAAGACCAAGGGUUCCUGUCCAACGUUAAUCGGGGCAGGGUGAGUCGACCCCUAAGGCGAGGCCGAAAGGCGUAGUCGAUGGGAAACAGGUUAAUAUUCCUGUACUUGGUGUUACUGCGAAGGGGGGACGGAGAAGGCUAUGUUGGCCGGGCGACGGUUGUCCCGGUUUAAGCGUGUAGGCUGGUUUUCCAGGCAAAUCCGGAAAAUCAAGGCUGAGGCGUGAUGACGAGGCACUACGGUGCUGAAGCAACAAAUGCCCUGCUUCCAGGAAAAGCCUCUAAGCAUCAGGUAACAUCAAAUCGUACCCCAAACCGACACAGGUGGUCAGGUAGAGAAUACCAAGGCGCUUGAGAGAACUCGGGUGAAGGAACUAGGCAAAAUGGUGCCGUAACUUCGGGAGAAGGCACGCUGAUAUGUAGGUGAAGUCCCUUGCGGAUGGAGCUGAAAUCAGUCGAAGAUACCAGCUGGCUGCAACUGUUUAUUAAAAACACAGCACUGUGCAAACACGAAAGUGGACGUAUACGGUGUGACGCCUGCCCGGUGCCGGAAGGUUAAUUGAUGGGGUCAGCGCAAGCGAAGCUCUUGAUCGAAGCCCCGGUAAACGGCGGCCGUAACUAUAACGGUCCUAAGGUAGCGAAAUUCCUUGUCGGGUAAGUUCCGACCUGCACGAAUGGCGUAAUGAUGGCCAGGCUGUCUCCACCCGAGACUCAGUGAAAUUGAACUCGCUGUGAAGAUGCAGUGUACCCGCGGCAAGACGGAAAGACCCCGUGAACCUUUACUAUAGCUUGACACUGAACAUUGAGCCUUGAUGUGUAGGAUAGGUGGGAGGCUUUGAAGUGUGGACGCCAGUCUGCAUGGAGCCGACCUUGAAAUACCACCCUUUAAUGUUUGAUGUUCUAACGUUGACCCCUAAUCGGGGUUGCGGACAGUGUCUGGUGGGUAGUUUGACUGGGGCGGUCUCCUCCUAAAGAGUAACGGAGGAGCACGAAGGUUGGCUAAUCCUGGUCGGACAUCAGGAGGUUAGUGCAAUGGCAUAAGCCAGCUUGACUGCGAGCGUGACGGCGCGAGCAGGUGCGAAAGCAGGUCAUAGUGAUCCGGUGGUUCUGAAUGGAAGGGCCAUCGCUCAACGGAUAAAAGGUACUCCGGGGAUAACAGGCUGAUACCGCCCAAGAGUUCAUAUCGACGGCGGUGUUUGGCACCUCGAUGUCGGCUCAUCACAUCCUGGGGCUGAAGUAGGUCCCAAGGGUAUGGCUGUUCGCCAUUUAAAGUGGUACGCGAGCUGGGUUUAGAACGUCGUGAGACAGUUCGGUCCCUAUCUGCCGUGGGCGCUGGAGAACUGAGGGGGGCUGCUCCUAGUACGAGAGGACCGGAGUGGACGCAUCACUGGUGUUCGGGUUGUCAUGCCAAUGGCACUGCCCGGUAGCUAAAUGCGGAAGAGAUAAGUGCUGAAAGCAUCUAAGCACGAAACUUGCCCCGAGAUGAGUUCUCCCUGACNGUCCUGAAGGAACGUUGAAGACGACGACGUUGAUAGGCCGGGUGUGUAAGCGCAGCGAUGCGUUGAGCUAACCGGUACUAAUGAACCGUGAGGCUUAACCUU
rnacentral:rRNA from 1 species